GUUUGGGUUAGGGUGUUAGGAUUACUUAGGGUUAUAGGGUUAGUUGGGUUUAUUUCAGAUUUUUUUUAGGAAUAAUUAGAGUUACUUAGGGUUUUUAGAGUUCACGACUAAUUAUUAACCGUCGUUUGUCAUUAAGGGCAUCUGGAUGUAUUUUUUUUUAAAAGUCAGGAGUAUAUGGUGAAAUCGAAAAAAAGUUGGGGUAUCUGGUGACUAAAAAAAUUUGUCAAGGGUAUUUGGUGAAAAAACCGUAUUUCUAUUACCACUUGCUAGUUGAUAUCAACCUCCUCCGAAGUAAUUGCAAUAACAUCGGUAAUUAUAGAACCUUAAUUCCAUUAAAGUGGGAUGUAUUGUAUCUUGCAUGACUCAAGAUUUUAAGAUUGGUGGUUGUCUUCUAUAUCUUGCAUAGGUAGGGAUGGAAACGAGUAAAUGUUUACAGCUGCAUGGGCAGUUGUAAAAGGAGAAAUUAAUGACUUUUGGAGCUAGUUUAUUGCUGAGUUGCAGAGAUGCUUGAAUAUGGAGGAUGGCUUAGGGUUGACACUAGGGAUGGCAAUAUCCAGAGGAUAUCCAGUAACCCGCUCCACCCUGUUUAAAUAAAAGGGUGAAAAACCGUAAUAAACGGAUGAAGACCGGGUGACGGAUGCGGGUAGGAUGCGGGUGACCAUUUCUCACCCAUCACCUGAUCCACCACCCGGUUAAGCACCCGACCCAUUAUCCAUCCGUUUAAUUUUUUUUUUGUUCAAACUCGUAUUUUUGAAACUCGUAUUGUUGAAGUAUUGUUGCCGAGACUUUAUUAUUGUGAAGACAACUUCCUAAAACUUGUAUGGUGCGAUGUCACCUUUUCUUUAUGCUAAAAAUAUCAUCGUAUUUAUUUAUUAUUUCGGAAAGUGUAAGUGGAAAUUGGGUACAUUAUUUUUUUAAUAGUUGUAUUCUAAAUUUGAUAUUUAGAUUUUUCACCCGUUAAUCACCCGACCCGCCCGAAUAACCCGGUUGUGAUGGAUGGAUGGAUUUCGGGUGAUGCGUAAAGCGGGUGACGGAUGGAUGGAUGGAUGGAUGAGAGUCAAUUUAACCAGGUGAUGGAUGCGGGUAAUGGCUCACCCGAUUCAAAUCCCACCCAUUGCCAUCCCUAGUUGGCACUGGUAUAAGAUGAGCAUGAGUUAUUGCCAAGUGUUGAGCACAGACAUUGUGCCAGACACAUUUUUUGCACAUUGGCACAAGGAUUUUAAAGGUGAUGAAAUGAAGAUGAUAUUUUGGAAGGCUGCAAAGACAUACACCAUUGUUGAAUUGAAUGAGGCUUUUGAGGAGAUGGGGGCUCAAAACCCUGCUGUUGAGGGUUUCAGGAGCUACGAUCCAAAAGUCUUCUAUAGAGCCUACAUGGACACAAGCACUAAGGUUGAUGUGAUUGUGAACAAUCUAGCAGAGAUAUUCAACGGGUACAUCAUUCAAGCAAGAAGAAAACACCUCAUAUACAUGCUUGAAAAAAUCAGAACUGACCUAAUGUAGAGGCUAGUCCUAAACAGAUAACAGAUGGAGAAGAAUAUGGCUCAAGUAUGCCCAAGGGUGCACGCUAAAUUGGAAAAGGCCAAAGUACAGGUUGCCAUAUGUAGGCCAAUUCCUUCAACUGCCACAAUCUUUCAGGUGAGCCGUAUGAUGGACACUUACUAUGUUGACCUUGAAGUCAGGUCAUGCACUUGUAGAAAAUGGGAUUUGAUUGGUAUCCUUUGCUACCAUGCAUUAGCUUGUCUCUUCUUGUAUCAUUACAAAGCUGAGGACUAUGUGUUAAUUAGAUUGGUACAAGAGAGACACCUACCUAAAGAGUUACAACAACUCCAUCCCUCCUUAUGUUGGUGAGAGGCACUGGCCAAAGGUGGAUGCUCCACUGCAGCCACCACCAAUCAAAGUGGGGCCAGGUAGGCCAAGGAUGAACAGAAAGAAGGACCCUCAUGAAAACCCCAAAACACUUGGGAAGCUAACAAAACAUGGGUCUUAAUGCAUUGUAUUGUGUGCAAGUCUACCAGCCACACCAAAAGGAAAUGUCCUAACAAGGACAGUGCAUCUGCACCUCCUCCAAAAAGGCAAAACACUGCCACUUUCUAAAACUGCAAUCCCACAGCCUGAUCCAUCAAUCCAACAUCCCGUCCCAUCAACACAGCAACCUGAUAUAAGUGCCCAACCAACACAAAUAGGAAAGAAUAGGAGGGCACUAAGAGGAGGUGGAGGUGGGAAAGGCUCAAGAGGUGAGGGAAAUUCUGUGGGAACCAGAGGUCCUGCAAAUGCAGGGAGGGAUUAGGAUCAAGAGGGGGAAUAAGUUCUAGGGCAGGAAGAGGUGUUGACAAAUGCAAGGAAAAAGCUCAGGAGGUGCCCCGCAUGGUGUUGGAGUGUUUUAUAUCCCUGAUGGAAAAACCUAUGUCAAUGGAAGAAUGCAAACAGAUGGGCCACAAUGGUCAACAUCAUACAUUGCUCUUGGAUUGGAGAGUCAGGCAUCAACAUUCAAUUUCCCUUGAUUUUAUUUGUUGGUUGUUUGUUGUUAAUAUUGAAGCAGUUUAUGGUUGGUAGUUUUUGGAUUGUAAUGUAAACAAUUUAGAGUUGGUAGUUUUUGGAUUGUAAUGCAAUUAUUUAGCCAUUGUGGUUUUUUGCUACAAUAUUGAAUGAAGUUUCUACUUACCUACUUAACAAGUUCUUACAUUU